rfam:Heligmosomoides polygyrus genome assembly, scaffold: HPBE_scaffold0000088
GCGCCGGUGGUGUAAGGCGAACAUCGCUGCCCGGAAAGCAGAAGAUGCGGGUUGGAGUCCCGCCUGGCGCA